ensembl:lncRNA
CCCCCCCCCCUCCUGACAGCAGCGGUUUGGUGGGAUAGCAGCGAUCCAUCUCUGUCAGAAAGCUAAAAUGAUAAUGCCAAUUAAACCAGAGGAGUAAUUUCUGGGCCCAGGUUCCCUCAAAAGGCCUCGAUGUGGAACAGGAAUGAAAAGACGAACCUCAGGAGGAGGAGGAGGAGGAGGAGGAGGAGGAGCCAAGAUUGGAGAAGAAAUGGGAGAAGUAGCCAUGUGAACGCCCGAGGAGAUGAUUUCUUGGAAGCUGGACUGCUGGGAGGUUCUUCAGAUCAAGAGACGUGAGGAACCAUGAGGAGCCACGAGGAACCGAGAUCAUUCUGAGCUGGCGCUGAGAAGACUCGAGCUGGCAGGACAUUUGCCCUAGAAAGCGCCCUAUGAACCCAUAACCUCCCCAACCAAAGGGCCUCUUUCCAGCCCGGGGCGAAGCUGGCGAAUCACACACCGAGCCGCUCAGCAAGCAUGAUCGAUGGUUCUAUUCAUCGAUGACGUUGCUAGUGAACCUGAACAUAUUGAACCGACACCUCAGAGAAGAGUGCCGCUGACCUUAAUCACCAGGUGAGAAAGCACCAGCAUCGAGAACUUGCUGACUUUACCGACGUAUAGUAUUGUGUCAUCUGCAUACCAGCCAUACCUUACCUAUUACACACAAUCAAAACACAACUAAACUCUUACAGGAGAGUAUUCACUGACAGGGUGGUGUGAUGAAACUGAAUUACUUUAACCCUCUGGAGUUGGUUAUUUUCCUAAUUAUGGUAUUCCUGUCUUUUUUUCAUUCCUUUAUAGCUACAAUUAAUGUUCUGGAACGUCCACGAAACGUUAUUUAUUAUCUCUCUCUUAAUAAGUUAAUAAUUUUUUUUUAAAUGUAAUCAUGAGGAUGUCGGAAAACUUAAAGCUACAGCGUUACCUCUGACUGUUACAAUGCGCUGACACUGGAGACUCCUUCCAUACACGUUACAUAAACACAUUUCUCCUUACAGAAUCUAGCAAGUUUUGUAAUCUGUUUAUUACUAGGCGUAUGUUAUGUAGCGC